rnacentral:rRNA from 1 species
CCAGACUCCUACGGGAGGCAGCAGUGGGGAAUAUUGCACAAUGGGCGCAAGCCUGAUGCAGCCAUGCCGCGUGUAUGAAGAAGGCCUUCGGGUUGUAAAGUACUUUCAGUCGGGAGGAAGGUGGUAAGGUUAAUAACCUUAUCAAUUGACGUUACCGACAGAAGAAGCACCGGCUAACUCCGUGCCAGCAGCCGCGGUAAUACGGAGGGUGCAAGCGUUAAUCGGAAUUACUGGGCGUAAAGCGCACGCAGGCGGUCUGUCAAGUCGGAUGUGAAAUCCCCGGGCUCAACCUGGGGACUGCAUUCGAAACUGGCAGGCUGGAGUCUUGUAGAGGGGGGUAGAAUUCCAGGUGUAGCGGUGAAAUGCGUAGAGAUCUGGAGGAAUACCGGUGGCGAAGGCGGCCCCCUGGACAAAGACUGACGCUCAGGUGCGAAAGCGUGGGGAGCAAACAGGAUUAGAUACCCGCGUACCU